rnacentral:rRNA from 1 species
UCUCCUGGAAACGGGUGGUAAUGCCGGAUGUUCCACAUGAUCGCAUGUGAUUGUGGGAAAGAUUCUAUCGGCGUGGGAUGGGGUCGCGUCCUAUCAGCUUGUUGGUGAGGUAACGGCUCACCAAGGCUUCGACGGGUAGCCGGCCUGAGAGGGCGACCGGCCACAUUGGGACUGAGAUACGGCCCAGACUCCUACGGGAGGCAGCAGUGGGGAAUAUUGCACAAUGGGCGCAAGCCUGAUGCAGCGACGCCGCGUGAGGGAUGGAGGCCUUCGGGUUGUAAACCUCUUUUGUUUGGGAGCAAGCCUUCGGGUGAGUGUACCUUUCGAAUAAGCGCCGGCUAACUACGUGCCAGCAGCCGCGGUAAUACGUAGGGCGCAAGCGUUAUCCGGAUUUAUUGGGCGUAAAGGGCUCGUAGGCGGCUCGUCGCGUCCGGUGUGAAAGUCCAUCGCUUAACGGUGGAUCUGCGCCGGGUACGGGCGGGCUGGAGUGCGGUAGGGGAGACUGGAAUUCCCGGUGUAACGGUGGAAUGUGUAGAUAU